rnacentral:rRNA from 1 species
AAUGAACGUUGGCGGCGUGGAUUAGGCAUGCAAGUCGCGCGACAAGGAACCUUCGGGUUCUGGAGGAGCGGCAAACGGGGUAGUAAGGCAUCGGAACGUACCCUCUUGUUGGGAAUAGCCGCGGGAAACUGCGAGUAAUGCCCAAUAAUCCCUACGGGCGAAAGGUACCGCCGCAGGAGGAGCGGCCGAUGUGAUACCAGCUAGUUGGUGAGGUAAUGGCUCACCAAGGCUUAGACGUCUAGGGGUGUGAGAGCAUGGCCCCCACCACCUAGGACGUGAGAGAACUGCCCACGACACCUACGGACGGCGAGCAGUGGGAAGUUU